rnacentral:rRNA from 1 species
UACGUAGGGUGCAAGCGUUACUCGGAAUUACUGGGCGUAAAGCGUGCGUAGGCGGUUUGUUAAGUCCGCUGUGAAAGCCCUGGGCUCAACCUGGGAAUUGCAGUGGAUACUGGCAAGCUAGAGUGCGGGAGAGGAUGGUGGAAUUCCCGGUGUAGCGGUGAAAUGCGUAGAGAUCGGGAGGAACACCCGUGGCGAAGGCGGCCAUCUGGACCAGCACUGACGCUGAGGCACGAAAGCGUGGGGAGCGAACAGG